UGUGUGGUGCCAGAGUGUUUAUGGGAUGUUUUGAUAAGAUAUAGACGGGUUCCUCGUUGACCCCCACGCGU
rnacentral:tRNA from 1 species